GCCGACCCAGGGUGCCGGGUGGCUCCUUGACAUAAAAAGCGCUGCGGGCCUCGCGCUGGCUGCGCCGGGCCGCGCUCCGCCGGGUUGAGAAGUACUUGUCUGGCUCCGCGUUGGAGAAGCCGCACCUCUCCUCUCUCCGGCUCUUACUUGAAAAGCACUUGGAAGAAACUGUGUGUGCGGGGAGGGCCGGGGCCAGGCUGGGAGGCUGAGGGGGGCCGGCUUGUGGGUGGAUGGGGAGGAGGUUGAAGAAAUAGCUCCUUUCUGAGUGACAGGACUCCUUUUCAAAGAGCCAACGGGGAGGGGGGCGGGGGAGAAGCUCCUAAUAUGAAUAGGAGAAUUUUCAAGGUUUCGCAGAGUUACUCCCCCUCCCCCCUUUUAAAGACAGAGAUCUUUUUUCUUUUCUUUUCUUUUCCUUUCCUUUUUAAAGGUAGAAAGUGAGUGUGCAAACGUGUCUUGAUGUGUUUCAGGAGAAAGAAGAGAUCCAUUAACUUUAAAAAUCUUCUCGGCUUGGUACAAAUCACUGAAACAUUUUAACAUGUUUUUGUGGACUCACUGACCAGAAUGGAGAAGUCAAACUCUCAGACAGGGAUCUUCAGUUAAAGGGGACAGGUUUGUGAGGGAAAGAAAAGGGAAUAUCUUACAAAGUUUUCCCUCACUCCAAUAACAAAACCUGUCACAUCUCUACUUUUUACUAGAAAAGAGAGUGUUCUUAUUUGAACACCUCUAAGGUGUUAGAUACCUCUGUGAGAAAUCAGGUUGGGAGAGGAAAGCUCAUCACACACACACAUACACACACCCCAAUUUUUAAAGCCUGCCUGUAUUUAUAAUUUAACCUUAGAAACACUUUUAUUAGCUCCAUUCUCAACCCCAGCUUUAAAAAAAAAAAAAAUUGCUGGAGAACCAUGUCUCAUAGAGGAGAAAACUCUUUAAAAAAAAAAAGAUUUAAAUCCACAGUACCAGUUGUUUGUUGUUGUUAUCAUGCUUAUGAUGGUUAUUAUGUCAUCCCUCCUUUUUUGCACUUGAUCUGAUGAGAGAACUUUUUUAAAGAGUGUGAAAUGAAGGACACAAAGACAGUAUAUCAAUGAAAAGAAGAAAGUGGCCCUUUUAACGAGAACUAAAGAAAACCCAAAUGUAGAUGAAGUGUACCGUAAAAGCUGCUUCAAAGUCCAUCUUAAUUCCCUUGGGCUCAGUCAUCACAAACAUGUGAUAAUUGGGAGUUCUGCACGGAGGUAAGACCGUGGGUUGGGGGUCAUGCAGAUGUACCUCCUUGCCUUCUAAUUCCAACUACAUUUUAACCAAGAACUUCAAGAUCUUACAGCACCCAGGUCUGGCUACUUCACGUUGAAAUGCUAUUUGCCCAUUAAAGUAGUUUUUAAACUCCUGGAGUACCCGUGCUCACUGAGGGAGUUUCACCUUCCACCUCGCCCCCCAGCAGGUCAGAAUAUGCUGGGCCAUAUUCUAGAUUUUGACUAUUAUUUUGUGAUCAACUCUAUUUAAUUUUCUAUUUUCGGACCUCAGACUUUCUGGAUCACAAAACUCCCCACAAGCAACCCAGCAAUAAAUCUGAACAAAAAUAAGACAGAUUUCCUCAUCGAUGUGUAAUAAAGUUAAAGGACAUUGUUUUGUCAGACAAGCGCUAAGUAGAAAAUAAAUCUCAGAGUCUGGGGAAACAAAACGGAGCGCUGCUGGCAUGUGUGUAAAUUUACUUUUAAAAGCAAUAAAUCAAUGUUAAAUUAAACAGCUGGGUACCCUGUCUAGGAGAAGGUUCCAGGUUUAAGAAGAUCUUGAUGGGAGAAAUGUGCUAUUUAACCAGACACCACCACCAAUAAAAAGUUAAAUUUUUAUUCUGAUCAGAGGCAAGACUGGCCUGGGAACUUCUCUGAACUUCAGAGAGGAAGAGGAGAAAGAGUCAGUGAGAAUUGUAUCUACUUUCCAUCCUCAGAUCUUUACCUACGUUUUUCACACCUAAGGAGACAAGGGGGCUUCAUAGAAAUAUUUUAGAUGUUUUGUAAAUUGUCGGUUAAGUUCUGACAUCCUCUAUUGGCUUAGGUUUAUUGGGUAGUUAUCAUUUUUGUGGGUUUUUUUUUUUUGGUAAAUACUAUAACCAAUGGAAAUAUUUUCCAUUGGGUAUAUUCUUAUCUAACCCUUCUUUUAUUCUCAGUGUGGUUGUUUUGCAAGGUAAAUGGCAUAGUUGAAAAUAAAGAGAAUUGUUAUUUCAUAUCUAUUAUGCCUGUUUUCAUUGAGAAGCAAACCUGAGAUUGGAGUAGCAUUUAAAACUCAACUGGAAUCUUUGAAUAUUCAUUUCUAAGGGUUUUUGUUUGUUUGGGUCUUAAGUGUGUUUUUAAAAUUUCACUGGGAAAAUUUGUAUGUGUGGAGUGGGGGCAGGGGUAGGGGCAGGGGACAGAACAAUAGAAAACUCAAGCUAUAACUCUGUAUUCUAAGAACAAUGUGAAUCAAUGAGUUAUAACAAAGACAAUAUUCAAUAGUAGGAAAUUAGGUACAGUUUAAGGUUAAUAUGUAUGUAUACUAGAUUUUAUACCCCCCCAUCUUAAAAUGAAAUUCCAGAAAGAGAAGUACUUUAGAAAGCAGACAUGUUAUCCAUGUUAUCGAGAUGAACCCCUUGGUCUUUUGAAUUCAGAUUGACUGGUUUCAAAGAAAAAUAUGGGGUUUUUGCCUAUACUGAAACUAGCAAAUUGUUUCUUACUAUCUUCUUACACAGUCUCAGAAGUUGUGUUUUGUUAGCCCAGUUCUACAGAAUAUUCAUAUAAUUAGAUAACAUUAUUGAAACCUAGAAGAUGGGAAAAAUGCUAUUUUCCCCCUCCAGCUACAAACUAACAGGGCUAUUUGGCAGCAUCCUGGCUACCUUUGACUUUUCUUCAGCCAAAGGAAAUAUCAAAGACCCGGUUGCCUAGAGAAGAAUAGUUAUAUUAUUUAUAUUUUGAAGGCAGCAUUCAGUUUCCAUGACCAUCCGUGGCUUGUUAAGGAAAUCUGUGUCUUAUGCCACUCAGAGAUAGCUCGAAUUGCCUGUCAGGAGAUGUCUGGGCAGCCUUGUAAACUCAGAAUGACUUCUCAAAUCCUGCUAGGUUUUCCCAGCGAUGUGCUUUCCUCCGCGCUGAAGCCCUGGGAGUCAUGUCAGCCCAAGGUGAGCCUUUCAGGCACUGCUCUUUGUCCCCAUCUGGAGAGCAAGGUGCAGAAUUAGUUGGAUACUGCCCUAGUUUUGGAGGUGGGGGUGGUGGGAUCGGAAAGGCCUCUUGUUCUAAUUAAAGACAGUAAGCAACCCUGUGAGGAGCUGUCCUUUAGCCUUCGCUUGAGGCAGAAAGGGUCUGUCUCACCUCAGUAGUUAGGUCUGUUUGAGCUGGCUGUGGGGCAAAGAGCAGAAACCUGCAGGUAACACUGCGCUCAGGUGAGACGGGGCCAGUGGUUAAGUCGUAGCGCGUGCAUCUUGAAGUCUCCCCUUACUUCCCAAUUCCCCAGUCGCUCGGUGCUCUGUGCUUGACUUUGAUUCUAACUUUGCUUGCUAGAUGGCGCUCGGUAUCUCAGGACUUUCCAUUUCAGAAUGAAAGCGGCUUUUUAGCACCGUUGUUUUCAACUAGUUGUGGGCAUUUGAUUAGCCCAGUGCUGGUAAUGUUAUUACUGCCCUUGUUUUUGUCACCCUUGUUCACUUUGUGAUUAAGGCAGCGCCCAAGUGGGAGCUGCCCAUCUUAAUCCGUCCAAUGAUAAACUUUUUAGUGGAACUCUGCACCUGAAUUUAGGGCACAUUUAUGGCUCAAUUACUCAUUCUGGUGCAUUUCAAAAAGCACUUUAGUAACUUUUCCUCCAGUAAUCAGAUUGAGAUUUUCAGAAGGAAGGUAAAUCAGCAGGUCCAGGUUAUUUACAGUCCUGGAGGUUUACCAUCUCAGCUAGAGUCCAUCUCAGCUCUCAUCACUAUUACCCAUUUCCAUUUCAGAAUAAGUUAAGCUAAUUUUAGGGAACUUAUUACUCUCAUUUAUCAUUAUGGUAUGGCAUUCAUUGAUUUAAAAGUAUUAUAAUUUGUUUAAAGCCCAAAUACUGAAAUUCAUGUCCACAAGGAAAUAGGUUUUAAUAUUAGUAAUAAAAGAUAGCAUACACCUUGUGAAGGGUGAUAUGUGAAUUCUAAUGUAUAUUUAUUUUAAUCACUAGGUGAUUCUUCUCAGAUAUUAAAAACACUUAAAAAAAAAACCUCCUUUGUGUUGAAGCACAAAGAGGCAGAAAAACCAAGAGUUCUAAGUUUCUGAUGGAAAACAUUAAGAUGAGCCAAAAGGACCUGUAUAUUGUUCUGUUGAAUGAAGAUGUCACUUUCACAGUACCCACCACCGCUCUCAUACCAUUGUGUGUCCCUUAAAGAAAAGGUUGCUGAUGAAGAAGGCAAAUGGAAAAACAAAAACAAAAACAAAAAAAACCCCUAUACAGAUAUUUUACAAACAUUUUAACAAAACAGAGUUUAACUUGUUACUUUUAGGAUUUAGAGAACUAAUUUGUAUAGAAAUGUUCUAUCUUUAGGAAAAUCAAUAACGCUCAGAGCUGGGUGGUUUGGAAACCUUUUGUCAAACCUUGCCUGCUUUGGUGGGGAACCCGGCAAAGUCUCUCUUUAGGUGUUAGGCUGAAACUAGCAGGCGCUGAAAACCUAAAGCGGAAAAUUUACAACUUGAUCAGCCCCAGCCACAAACCAAAAAACCUGCUACUGGUGCAAACAUAUGUUCCAGAUUAAGUUAGGCAAAUGGCUCUUGUUUUCUCAGGGUGGAAAGUUGAUCAUGAAAAUUCAAAUUUGAGUAAGCUGUGUUUCCGAUGGAUCACGGGAUCCUCAAACGCUUAUAAAUCCCUCCCAACCGUUUACUUGAGAGAUUUCAUAUAUUUUAUUACCUUCUUGAGAGCUGAGUUUACAACCUCCUGCAAAUUUAAUUCAAUCAGGUAUUAUUUUCUGGGAACAUACAUAGUUUUAAAAGUUUGGUAAGUUGAAAACUAGGUGAUUUCUGUAACGUCAAACUACUAGAUAGCUAAUGUGUAACUCAGUUGCUCUAAUGCCUUUUCUAUUUCUUCACAUACAGACUAACUUUACAAAGUAGAAAUUAAACUGUUGAAUUUAUUUUAAAGCUUCCUUAAAGUUUUAUUCACCAGAGGAGUAGGCGAUUUUUUUUUUCACAGCAUGAGACAAAAUAGAAAAGUGUUACCCAAGCCUUUUAAUUAUGUCAGAAAAGACUGAGAUCAUGGUGUUUCUUUUAACGGGGGUAGCUGUCUUUUUGCAACCUCCCUGGGGUCAUCCAUCCAUCUCCCAGCUCAGUUAUUUGAAAACCCGUCCAGCUAUGAAGGUGUCUUGUAAGCAAGUUUAGAAUUAAGUCCAGAUUCUCCGAGAUAGCUAUCUCUGCGGACAAGUUGUAGAGGAUGGAGCCUGGCAUCAGACAGCUUCGGCACCUUCCUAUGUAAUCUCGGGAGUCCGAAGUUGUUCCCUAUUACCUACGUUCAUUCGAAUGAUCAUCCUGCAGAUUUUAACCAAUACUGUCAUGUUGAAGUUUGGUAGUUAUUGUUUACAUUUCUCCCUUCCCCAAGGGGUCUUGGAAAGUGUUUAAGAGAUUAUUGAUUUCUAAGAAACCAAAUAAAGAAGGCUGUUCUUUUAUAACAUAGGAAAUACACACUUUUCUUUAAAUAGGCAGUGUAUAUUUGACAUUGACAAAUGUGCAAGAGACAGAAAACUUAUUUUAAAAGACUUUGAAGGAGGAAAAAAUGGAUAAGACAGAAGCAAUCCUCUAGAAGAGUGGAAUUGGAAUUAAAGGAAAAACUUGGAUAAGGGGAGAAAUGGUUAUCUAUACUGUAAAAUGGUUUAAAGUUUCAUUGAACACAUACAGGUGGUGAGCAAACAUCAUUGGAGAAGCUUCUUUCAGGGGACCUAAUCAGUAUCACUCAGAGUUUUGAUUGAUUUAUCUUUUAAAAAUUAGUUUUCUUAUACUCAUUUUUUCCCUGGCAAAGUGGUCCUGAAAUAGUCACUCAGGUCUGGAAGUUUCUGAUUAACUUAGAAUAAGUCAUUCUGAAACUAUGUCAAGAAUACACUUUUUUUUUUUUAAGUAAGAAAUUCCUGAAUAACUAAAUAGAGAUCUUAGCCACCCUGUCUCCAGGUCAUAAGGGAAAUCUCCAGUGAAGGACAGAGAUACCCCCAAACUCUGACUGAUGGAACAAGUACUAGGCACCCAGGAGUUCAGUAAAUGCUCUCUAUUCCACCCAAAUCUCCACAAAUCCCCUGCCCUAACAGAGGAAAGCCCCACAUCCUUCUCUGAGCACCUGAUUCCCUUUUCUUGCUCCCAAACCUCUGAAAGGUAAGAAAGAAAUAUACAUUUAUCCAAGAUGGAAAUUUGUUUCAUAGAAUAAGCUCCCCCUCCACCCUCCCCAGCAUACCAACCAAAGACAUUCAAACAUUAUGAAGAUAUUUCAGCUAUAGUUUCAAAAUUGGGAGGUGAAUCCCAGUUUAGAAUAUGUGAGUCUCCAAGUCACUAUUAUUCAACAGGUCCCCUUUGCUACCCUGUACACUUCAGCUGCCACACUGUAUCUCCCUAGUUUUCCUAGGAGGGUCCAGUCGCUGGUUAAAAUAGCUCCUGGCUGUUUCUAUUCUAGCACGGACUUGUCUUAGGAUUUGGAUAAAACAACUCUUGAGACCACAAGAUAUACAAAACUAUGAGAAAAAAAAAUCUUCGGGGAUAACUGAGCAGUGAUUUUGCAUAUUAAAAAAGGGAGCAAAGAUUUUAUGUAAGCAGCGCUGUAUGGGAAAACAGACUAAAUUAUUCACCUAUGAAAUAUUUAAUAAAAUAUUUGUGUGUUAAGGGAUACAAAAAUACAGUGUUUUGAAGCUAAAUUUCCACUAAACUGAGGAAUUCAUGGAAAGUUUUCAUUGUAAUACUAUGCCAAAUAGAGAGUCAUUUUAUCCUGAAAAGUACUGUAAUCUGUGUAACUUCAUGAAAGCAGUUUUGCAACCAGAUUGUUGCAGCUAUUUUACAGGAAAGAAACCCGAAGAUGGCAGAGUUCUCUCCCCUUUUCACUCUCCUGGCCCUUUCUGGUGAAGUUGGAUUAAGCUGAUUUUAAACAGUUUUUGAACAAUCGAUAUUUAAUAGAAAUUUGGUUUUGGCCCCCUCACCUGCUCUAGUAAUACUUUCGUCCUCAAAGUUGAAGAGAGUAGAUGAUUAGAAUAGGGUCCAGAGGGAGGGGAGAGAUUUUACUCAAAGUUCAACAAGUGAAGCAAGUUUCAGUAAAGCAAGGUGCAAUUUGAAAUCUUUAAAAACUAGUCCUAAGAGUGGUGACUUAAAUGUUGCUAGGGAGAUCAUGCAAUGAAAAAGACACCACACGAAAUUGAUCUUCUUUUAUUGUACUUUGCUUAAAAGGAAAAAGGAAAGCCAAACUGAGAGACGCGCCGAAAUUUGGAGCUUGGAGUUGAGAACUGAAACUAGGAAGAAAGGCGGUGGUUCAGUUUUGAGGAAUUUUCACCCCGAGGAAUCCAAGACCUUCAGUCCAAACAGCAAUUUCUGGGGAGGCAGAUUAUGGGGUGGUGCAGAAGGAGUGUAAUUGGGUGAAUAUUUCAGAAGGACAGUAACAAGGUGAUGUGGUGACUGUGGACAGUGUUCCUGAUAAGCAGACUAAGUUUUUGCACUAAAAGAGAGAGUCUUCCAUUUGUAAUUCAAUUUUAAUUAAGAACUUGGGAGAGGCUGGUUUCUUUUUCACUUGAAAUAAUAGAAUAUUUUAGGAAGUUUCUGAUGCCUGACCUAAAGACCUCUCAUCCUUUUCCAAGAUAGAGAAUAAAAUACUUCCAAACUAUGCAAUUCUUAAAGUUUUUUAGCUCAAUGUUUCUUUUUUUCUAAUGCUUUUCUUGAUAACAGUAAAUUACCUGAUUUGAAAAAACUGUUAUUACCCACAGAUCAUUCUAAAUAAAAUGCAUUGCUUUUAAUAUGCUUUUAAAUGAAAUACAUAAAUACAGUAGAGUUAAACCAUGCACCUAGUGUAUUCCUUAAAAACCUAGGUAAAAGCAAAUUUCCUAAGAUUUUUAAUAACUCCAUAACAGUUACUCUCUGCAUGUGUUUCUAUAUUCUACUGUAUUUCAAGUCUGGCACAUUGCCUAUCAACUCAAGACACCAAUAGUUUAAAUCAAUUUUUCUUUAAUGAAAUAAAGGCAACCUUAAAUACUGAUACACAUUACAUACAGAGAAUUUACAGAUGCAAAUGAACUUGAAGCACAUUCAAAAAUAUUUAUUUUGAUGCCUUGCAGAAUUUGAACACGAAAAAAUUAUUUAAAAGAAAAAAACAGUUUACAAACAUUCCUGGUGACCAACAUAUAUUGAGUACUUACUAUGUUCUGGCACUGAAAAGACAUACACAUACUGUAUAUGUUGGCUAUUCUGGUGGAAAGGGCAUAUGUACCCCCCCAUGAAUGGAUAUGUACAUAUCUAGAUGUGUGUGUACACAUCUAGACAUAUAUGUGUGUGAGUGUGUGUAUAUACACACAUAUUUUCAAUUAGGUCUUAAAAAAAAAAAAAACCCUGAGUACUUCAAAGAAGGAAAUGAACUUUAUAUUCAAUCAUAGUUAAUUCGGACUUCAUUUUUGGCUAAUCAUAAUUUGGCCAAUAAUUUUUUUUCCUGAUAGCAUGAUGGACAUUACUUAGAAUUUAAAGUUUAGUGUCCCCAAAAUGCUGCUCUUCUUAAGCCACUUUGAAGUAAUGCUAGUGAGUCUAAGAUCCAGAUCUACAUGUUAAUCUCCAGUUUUGCCUUCAAACAGAAUUCAGUUACAAAGAACUUGGAAAGAUUUUAAAUCUAUUCAGGAGAGGAAAACUCUUUAAUUUUCUGAGGAGUAAAAACUCCCCAAGAAACUUCAUAUAGCUUCUUAGAUUUUGCUUAGCAUACGUGAUAAAACAUUGAUUGUUGCAGUUUGGUGACCCAUGAAAUUUGGGGGUUAGUUUUCUCUUCAGACCAGAGCAUAUAAUUAUGCAAAUAAAGAGCUGUCACUGAUCUAGUGAAAUACUCACAAACACAUGCACUCUGAAAUUGGACAGAAAAGUGAAAAUGGUUGGUGAUGUGAUGGUGCCAUGGUUUGUUUUCCUGCCAAGUUUCUAUCCAAGUUCAUUAUUCAAAUUGUAAACUUUAAAAAGAGACAUAUCAUUCUUGGGGUGUUGGUUGUCUUUUUAUUUCAGAUUCUUUGUAUUGGUACUGCAGGCUGGCUACAAAGUACAGUUCAACAUUAUUUUACCUAUGACUGUCUCCCAUAUUACCCGUUGUAUUAGCCAAGGAAGAAAAAGUGGAAUGAUCUGGAAAAAAAGAUGCAGGGCUUCUCUAGAUGUUCUUCUAGAAACAUGUUUCAUGUCUGUUUCAAAGAGAACUCAACUCCAACAAUACAAAGAAUAUAGUGAAAGGUUUUUUCACAAAUCUCAAGGCAAAAGACUGGGAAAAGUUGCCUGGAAGGUCUUAUGGAUUAAGUCAAAUUUCCAUUUUCAAGCUUUUUUCCAUUCAAGGGGAAAACACUGGUCACUGCAUGAUAUCCACUUAAUGGUCAAACUUUCAGCAUGAUUUUCUCCUAUCUAGCAAUUAAAGCCCACUAUGUAAUAUUUGGUGACUUUAACCUUUGAGGUUCAUUUAAAAUUACCACUCCUUUUUGUGCUAAGAAUUAACACAGAGUUCUUCAGCCUAACCAUGCUCUUUGGCAUCAAGGUCUCCCAAUUCCAAAGUUGCCACUGCAUAGGCUGUUGCAUAAUUUCAGAUGUCAUGGAGAGUCUCACUGAUGAAAUCUGAGAAGGCUCAUGUCAGACCACAGACUGCUAAAGACACCACUACAUGAAAGAUCAGUGGUGUGAAACUUUAAAAACAUCGAUCCAAAUGAAUCAAUUAAAUCAACGUUCAUCUCUCCUAAGAGUGAGGUUUAAAACUAUCAUUGUUGCUUUUUUUUUUUUUUAACCCUACAUAGAUUUUGAGAUAAACGCUGGAAUGCUUUGAUGGCUACUUCUAUUCUCGAAUCUCCGUUAAUCGACUUUGUGCUAUUUUCCUCUUUUCAACAUCUUCCACUUGGUGUACAUUCUUUAGUUUAGUACAGUGCAUGACAGUUGCAAUGCUUUAAAUCUAAAACCGCCUAACAAAGCUGACGCUUUAGGUAGGAUAGCUUUAAGCUCUGUGAAGUGUUGAUUAAAAACCCUUUCCCAGACUCAAACUGAUCUUUUUGGAGAUUAAUAGAAUAUUAGAUAAAAGGAAGACGAACAAUUCAAGAGACUCCCACUCAGUCACACUAUACAAGGAAGGAAGGAAGGAAAGUAUUCAAUUUUUGAAAGGGAGUGCCUCCUGGAGUCUUUUAUUUUAUAUUAUUAUAGCUUCUAAUAAGUAAUCAUAAAGUAACCACCAUUAUCCCUUUUUUUUUCACCCAUACUUAAAAAAUGAGAAAAUCUCACAUUUAUUUAAAGACAUUUUUCUCUACAGAGACACAGGGAAAGUUUUUGAGAAAUUUUUAGACUUUCUGUAAUAGUAAUCUUUCUUAAAUGAACCAGGAUUACAGACACCAAAAGGAACCUGUCAGUUUACAGACUAUGAUUACAAGAGGAGACACACAUGUGCCUGGACUGGAAUUCGAGAUAAUCCAGAGAAAAAUGAAUAAAAAAUCUUACUUAUUAGCAUUGAUAAUAUAGUUAACAUUUUGUCACUCAUACUCUCUCAAAGGAGUUACAGGUUUUAAAGAAGGAAAAGCUGUAAGAUAAAUGUAAACAAGAUAUUUUCAGAUUAGAUAUAAUACAUCAAGGACCUACAAGGGGAUUUGGGAGCAAUUUAAUCUCACUAGACUCCUUUUGGAAAACACAUUUGUUUGCCAUAUAAAGUCUAUUUUAUAAAAUUAUAGUUUAACAAUGGGUUCAAAUUUCUUUGUAGUUAAAGACUUUUGCUUUAAAAACAAAUGUCUUAAAAAAUGUUAGCUUUGUGAAGGUUCCAAGCUAAGUAGUGACUCCACUGAAGUUAAAGAUACUAUCUUAGAGCAACAAUAAUAGUAACAAUAAGCAGCUAUAAGGUUUAAAAUGUUGAUAAAUGCCAUCCCAUCAUUCUUUUAAAGUUUCUGCUUUUAUUAACUUUUAUAUGUGAUUAAAUGAACUUCUGAGCAAGAAUAAUAACGCCGCUGCUUGUUGGGAAAGUUGUUUUUAUUUUAAAUAGUAAACAGAAAUAUAUAUUAUAUAGGAAACUCCUGCGCUUUACUUUUCUUUUUUUGGUAUAAACGAUAAUGUAUUCUAAGUUGAAGCAUAAGGCAGAAACUUGAGAAAAGAACAAUUAUUACAAGUAGAUUCUUCCCACCCCACCUCUUCAAAUAUCCAUGAAAACUUUUAACGGCUAUAUACUUAGGUACCUUUAGAAAGUGCCAAAGCCAAUAUGUUUGUGGCUUUUAAGUUUUAACGGGAUUAUUUUGAUUAGAUUUAGCAACAACUCCUUGCUUCCCAUUCCACUGCUCUAAGAACUCACUGUAUAAUUAAAGAAAAAAAAAAAAAUCCACUUCCUAACUUUAAACCUCUACUCUCUUGAAACUUUGUCUAAAGAAAUCCAAAUGAGAGAUCAGAACAGAAAUACUGUUAGCACUUGAGGCAUCCAAGCAGGCCGGGCUACUACCAACUGAUCAUUGUUAUUCCAGGAAAACUGAGAUGAAUAUAAUAAUAUUAUAUUGAUACCAACAAACCCAUAAUCUACAGGUUAAAAAAUUCCACAUUACAAGGAAUCUUAUCACUUAUCAGUUGGUGGUCUGGGAUGGUUUGCCUAAUUCUCUCUGGGUUGCAAUAGCUCAGAUCCACAAGUAGAAAUUACAUUUACACAACUUAAGUUUGCAAAUAGCUCUCUAUAGAUAGUUAAACAAAGCCCAACAACCCAGCAGUUUUAAAGUAUUAAAGGCAAUUAAACAGUGAUUUACUCUAGCUACAAGUAAUGGUUUUUUAGAAAGAGAGGUAAGGAAACUGCAGAGAAGGAAUAGGAUUUGGUUUAUAAGCUGAGUGUAUUUACUUUGCUCUAAUUCAGGUGCAGAAGCUUCACAAGUUGAGCAUUGUACAAAUGCUGAUUUAAAAAUGCAAUAAAAUUAGUUUCCAGUGAACACUUUCAUAUGCUGAAAACAACAUACAAUUUAUAACACUUUGAAAAAUAUGUUCAAUCCACAUCAAUUCUCAAAUCCUCUCAAUGGAAGGCACAUCAUUUUACACAGUUCACCAUUACUUCUAAAAUUUUAGAAAAGGUUGCAGACUAACAUGCUUGAUGUUGCCAGGGUUAUACAGUUUAAGCCAUUCAAGGAGUUGGCUGAAAUGACAUUUUGAUUUUUCCUCUUAUGUUGUUUCUACUAAAAUAACAUCAAAAGAUAUGCAUAUUAGACUACUGAAAAAAGAUCACUUUAAUUUACCAUCAUUAAGUUAAGAGAACUACUUAAUGCACUUGUGGACCAAACACAGAUAUUGUUAGUUUUAAAACUUGCUGCGACAGGUUCAUAGUAUAAAAACAUUUUAUCCAUAAGGUAGAUAUUUUAAGUUAUUUUUCUGAGGAGUCAGACAGUUAUAAAGUCAUUUUGGGUACAUUUUAUUAUGUCCUCAAAUAAGGCAGGCAUCUUGUUGCAUACACUUUAAAAAAGGAUGAAAAAAUAUUAAAUUCAAAUCCCCAUCUAUUAGAAACAGAAUCUUCACUAGGUAAUUAAAUCCUGCAACUAAUUAAAAUAUUGAUAAAAUUAAAAUUUAAUAUUUGAAUUUAAAAGUCAGUAAAAUCUUAACUUAUUUUACUUCAUAUCUCACAGUGUUGGCCAGAUCUUAGUGGAUUAAAAUACUUAACUGCUGAAACUGUAGGACAAUACCUUACAGAGAAAGUGGACUACUAUAAAUUAUACCAUUAGACUGAGAGGAGCAAGUCUUUCAUACCAGGUCUUUGCCUUUCUGUUGGAGCAGAAAACAAAAAUAAUCAUUUUAGCCCCACUUGGCCUUUCAGAAGGAAAGGACUCGAGAGCAUAUAGGUUCAUUUUCCUGAUGGCAAUAAAAAAUUCUAUCCCUAAAAAGGUCUAACUUCAUGAAGGCUCAGAAUAGACCACUCAAGUUAGAAUUAACAACAACAAAAAGACAACAAACUUCUUCCACAUUAAGAUUUAAAAAGCAAAAGUUAAGUAUGCUAUCUAAAUGACUACACCACCCAAAGCACAUUAUAUAUUUAAAAAGUCAACUUAAUGAUAAAGUUGGAAAUUCCAUUGAAAGUGAAACAUUUCACAUAUAUACUUGAAAAAUUUGCUCAUCAUUCCGUUUUAGUUUAAACAACCUCUUCUGAAAUUAGAGACUUGUGUAAAAUCUCAUAUUCAAUUGGCAAGGAUUUUCAGCCAUAACGUGGUACUUUAUAAACUUUCAUGCAUUUUUUCUUCUGGUCUCGAAAUGAAAAUAGAUCGUGAGGGAGAGAACAACUUGCCCUCCCCAAACUACCCAGUACAUUAUGGAGUUCAUGUUCAGAAUUUAAAUUUGACUUUGGGGGGAGGGCACGGAAAUUCCUUAAAAAAAAAAA